CAAUUUUGGAGUAGCCAGAAUUGAUUCUGGACAUGUAGAAUGGAUUCUGACUUGUUUGGUUCCUUAAAAGUAGAAUUGAUUCUGCCUCCAGAAUGGAUUCUACUUGAAGCUAGAAAUUGUAGCUUCUCAUUCUAGAAUUGAUUUUUACACUCAAAUUCUUUGUUCAACUCACUUUUGUAUGAAUAUAUCCAAACAUAAAUCAAUUCUAUCA
rnacentral:lncRNA from 1 species